rnacentral:rRNA from 1 species
GACGAACGCUGGCGGCGUGCCUAAUACAUGCAAGUUGAGCGCUGAAGGUUGGUACUUGUACCGACUGGAUGAGCAGCGAACGGGUGAGUAACGCGUGGGGAAUCUGCCUUUGAGCGGGGGACAACAUUUGGAAACGAAUGCUAAUACCGCAUAAAAACUUUAAACACAAGUUUUAAGUUUGAAAGAUGCAAUUGCAUCACUCAAAGAUGAUCCCGCGUUGUAUUAGCUAGUUGGUGAGGUAAAGGCUCACCAAGGCGAUGAUACAUAGCCGACCUGAGAGGGUGAUCGGCCACAGUGGGACUGAGACACGGCCCAAACUCCUACGGGAGGCAGCAGUAGGGAAUCUUCGGCAAUGGACGAAAGUCUGACCGAGCAACGCCGCGUGAGUGAAGAAGGGUGUCGGAUCGUAAAACUCUGUUGGUAGAGAAGAACGUUGGUGAGAGUGGAAAGCUCAUCAAGUGACGGUAACUACCCAGAAAGGGACGGCUAACUACGUG